GAACGCUAGCUACAGGCUUAACACAUGCAAGUCGAGGGGCAGCAUGGUCUUAGCUUGCUAAGGCCGAUGGCGACCGGCGCACGGGUGAGUAACGCGUAUCCAACCUGCCUUACACUCUUGGACAGCCUUCUGAAAGGGAGAUUAAUACAAGAUGUUAUCAUGAGUAAGCAUUUUCGCAUGAUUAAAGGUUUACCGGUGUAAGAUGGGGAUGCGUUCCAUUAGAUAGUAGGCGGGGUAACGGCCCACCUAGUCUUCGAUGGAUAGGGGUUCUGAGAGGAAGGUCCCCCACAUUGGAACUGAGACACGGUCCAAACUCCUACGGGAGGCAGCAGUGAGGAAUAUUGGUCAAUGGACGAGAGUCUGAACCAGCCAAGUAGCGUGAAGGAUGAAGGUUCUAUGGAUUGUAAACUUCUUUUAUACGGGAAUAAACGAAUCCACGUGUGGAUUUUUGCAUGUACCGUAUGAAUAAGGAUCGGCUAACUCCGUGCCAGCAGCCGCGGUAAUACGGAGGAUCCGAGCGUUAUCCGGAUUUAUUGGGUUUAAAGGGAGCGUAGAUGGGUUGUUAAGUCAGUUGUGAAAGUUUGCGGCUCAACCGUAAAAUUGCAAUUGAUACUGGCAGUCUUGAGUACAGUUGAGGUAGGCGGAAUUCGUGGUGUAGCGGUGAAAUGCUUAGAUAUCACGAAGAACUCCGAUUGCGAAGGCAGCUUACUAACCUGUAACUGACAUUGAUGCUCGAAAGUGUGGGUAUCAAACAGGAUUAGAUACCCUGGUAGUCCACACGGUAAACGAUGAAUACUCGCUGUAGGCGAUAUACAGUCUGCGGCCAAGCGAAAGCAUUAAGUAUUCCACCUGGGGAGUACGCCGGCAACGGUGAAACUCAAAGGAAUUGACGGGGGCCCGCACAAGCGGAGGAACAUGUGGUUUAAUUCGAUGAUACGCGAGGAACCUUACCCGGGCUUAAAUUGCAACCGAAUAUGGCGGAAACGCUAUAGCUAGCAAUAGCGGUUGUGAAGGUGCUGCAUGGUUGUCGUCAGCUCGUGCCGUGAGGUGUCGGCUUAAGUGCCAUAACGAGCGCAACCCUUGCCGAUAGUUACUAACAGGUCAUGCUGAGGACUCUGUCGGGACUGCCAUCGUAAGAUGUGAGGAAGGUGGGGAUGACGUCAAAUCAGCACGGCCCUUACGUCCGGGGCUACACACGUGUUACAAUGGGGGGUACAGAGGGCUGCUACCACGCAAGUGGAUGCCAAUCCCAAAAACCUCUCUCAGUUCGGAUUGAAGUCUGCAACCCGACUUCAUGAAGCUGGAUUCGCUAGUAAUCGCGCAUCAGCCACGGCGCGGUGAAUACGUUCCCGGGCCUUGUACACACCGCCCGUCAAGCCAUGGGAGCCGGGGGUACCUGAAGUGCGUAACCGCAAGGAGCGCCCUAGGGUAAAACUGGUGACUGGGGCUAA
rnacentral:rRNA from 1 species